AUCCAGAUGACGAGUCCCAAAUAAGACGUAAUGCGCAUCCUGGAU
rfam:Trichobilharzia regenti genome assembly, scaffold: TRE_scaffold0020535